ACUCUUCAAGAGUUGAGGGAGUAGUGGCAGCGAAAAGAGAGCAGAAAGCAUCUGGAUCAUAGCCAAGCUAGCAGCUCAGGGAAAAUGGGGGUACCAAAAGGAUUAUCUCUAUCUGGAUUUAAGCUGGGAUUAAUUAUUAGGGCAGUGACAUUGGGGCAUAUUCCUCCAACUAAUUUCAUAUUAGUGACAAUGGGAAGUACUGCUGUUUUGCUAGUUGGAUGGAGAACAAUGGUGGUCAGCACAAUUCUCAAUGAAACAAGCAAGAAGACUGAUGUAUACCGACAUGGAAGCCCAUUUGAAUUAUUUGAGUUGCUCACAUCACUUGUACGGAGGUGGUGAUAUUGAUCAGCGAUUUUGGUGUGGAUGUACCUUAAUGUUAACUGAACUAUUAUACAGUCGAUAAUACUUCAGGGUAAUUGCAACAGGUAUCUUAUCCUCUGAUUUUAAAUAUUGUGUACCGAUGGAAACUUGAAGUAGAUAUAGUGCCGUCUCCAUGAGUUGUACCUUUACUCCUUUGCAUUCAAUUUCUUUACUUUUUACCCGUCACUCAUAGUUGAUCUUUUGGUAUAUUUUAUCCAAUCCAUAACAUGUACAAGGUCUUGAUUCUCCUGCUCUUCCGAGAGACUUUUACCGCAGAAAGGUUUGGUUUAAGUGACAAGUUAAUUA